rnacentral:rRNA from 1 species
AACGAACGCUGGCGGCAGGCUUAACACAUGCAAGUCGAGCGCAUCCUUCGGGGUGAGCGGCAGACGGGUGAGUAACGCGUGGGAAUCUACCUUUUGCUACGGAAUAGCUCCGGGAAACUGGAAUUAAUACCGUAUGUGCUCUUUGGCGGUGGACGCUUUAGAGGAAAGAUUUAUCGGCAAAGGAUGAGCCCGCGUUGGAUUAGCUAGUUGGUGGGGUAAAGGCCUACCAAGGCGACGAUCCAUAGCUGGUCUGAGAGGAUGAUCAGCCACAUUGGGACUGAGACACGGCCCAAACUCCUACGGGUGGCAG